CAGGAGCUGGCAGCCGCUGCUGACGUGCGUCAUGACUUUCUGUUUGAGCUGCGCCACCUGCUCCCGCAGCAGGGAGGCCGUGCUCGACAGGCCCGCGUUGUCCGUUUUCAGCACCUUGACUUUGUCCUCCAGGCGCGCGAUGCGCUCCAGUUUGCGCCUGCGGCACUUGGACGCGGCGAGCCGGUUCCUCAGCCGCUUGCGCUCCGCCUUGAUCCGCUCCUGGUUCUCCAUGUCGAUGGGAGACAUAGGGGGGGAGCCGUUGUCGCUGCUUUGCAUGUCGGGGACCGUCUGGGGCUCCUCCUUCAGGCCCCCGUAGCGCUGCGAGUGCACGGGGGCCCCAGACAGGGAGUGCUGGAAGUGGUGGGAGCCGUGCGCAACGGCCUGGGGGUGCUGGUGGAACUGGUGGUGGUGGUGGUGGUGCUGCAGGUAGCUGAUGGUGGUGGGGGGGUAGCUGGCCGCGGCGCUCAGGCCGCUGUUCGUGGUGCAGCUGCUCAAGUUGGUGUACUCCAGAGCUUCGGGCUGCAUGGACGCGCCGAACACGGAGGACGGAGCCGGGCAGCCCACCCCGCCGGAACCGAUGGAGACGUUUGGCGGAGCCAUCUGGUUCAUCUUGUGCAGGUCGUCCAGAGCUUUGACGAAGCCCUCCGCGAAGCCCUCCUGCUCCUCGGUGAUGCCGCGGUUGUACAGUCAGGAAGGACAAAAAUGGACGGACGCCCCAAAGCCGAGGAUGUUUACUUGGCCUUCGUCAUGGCUUUAACUCCCUCUUCCCCAUCGGAGGGAACAACAGCGUUUGCCCACUUCAUCAAAUGAAGCAGAAGUAACGUAUCUCCCGUGGUUUUGGCAAGGUCUUCCAUGCUGGAAGCUCGGUGACCUGGAAGCGGCCUGUAGGUGUGGUGAGUCAGGUGUGUGGAUGUUCGUCAGGGCGAAAAAAGAUGGCCGCCCGCCUCAGGAGCGGCCAGCUCACCGCUUUCACACCGCAUCUUAAUUCACGGCACGGCGAGUCCUUUAAAAGACGGAGUCUCCUCCACGAGCCGCUCCCAUCCAGCUCCGCACCAACGGCCCUCCUCGCCGCUCCCGCUCCUUCAUGGUUAGUCGGCCGCCUGUGGGAAAAUGAGCUGCCUUGUGCGUGUAAUCGCUUUAAUGAAGGCACUUUUAAUCAGUAUGUUCUACGUCUGUAGCUCGCAGAUAGUGCCAAGGAGCCUCUUAGCAACGAGAGACCUUUAGCACAAGACAUGAUGACUGCUGAGGCCAAAUGAGCGUGGCAGGAAAAGACGGUCGGACCACGCUGUCCCCCCGGGCUGACGGCGCCCAUACGGAGCUGUCCUUCCCGCUCCCCCUCCAUCUACACGGAUGCUCCAACUCCCCUGCCACUCUGCUGCCAGCCUGUGCAAAAAGGCAAACAGCCGGAAGUGGGGCGAUUAAAUCUAAACCCAUUCGUCACGCUCAUUACGUCUAUUAAUUAGGCUUUCGUUGUUGUCACCCCGAAACGAUGGAUUAUGAGGAAAACAGCAGAAACUCUGAUAAAAAAGGUGUUUUUGGUGUUCUUUUCUCUAUUGGUGGAGGACGUUUAAAAAGAACAUUUAUCUUAAAAAUGGCAUUUCUGAGCAUUUCUUUAUUCAAAUUCAAUGUGUAAACAGGACCAUGAUGCAUUCAAAAUGAAGCGACUGCACUAAAAUGACAAACUACGAUGACCCUGAGGCCGUGUCACGUUACGUACAUUACCUACAUAUUACACGGAUGAAAAUUGGUGAAUCUACGUGUGAAAAAGAGAGCAAAGUUGUGGUCUUUAGGUGAAAUUUUCCCAGGUGUAUCAGGAAUGAACCACGUUAAAACCACAGUAGAAGUAGGAAUAAACCAUGCAAAGAACGCACAAACAAACACGGAACAUGGAUCUUGUGUUAUUAUUGCGCCAUUUAUAUGCAAUUCAUUAGCGUCAAAUUACAUCGAAUUAUGCACGCCGUAUAUGUGAUAUACAAGUUAUACAUGGGUACCCAGGUAGUAGAUGUUGGAGGUGUGGUAAUAAUGGAGCCAAUCACUGCCAUGUCUUUAGGGACUAAAACUGGGACUAGAAAAUGUAUUUUCUAUUGUCUUCCCCUUGAAAUCUAUAUUUGGGUCAAAUAGAGCUAUGUGACCUAGACAACAAAAGUAAGACAUUGCUCUACAUUCUGCGGGCGGUCAGUAAGAGAGUAGAAAACAGAAAAUGGCUUCAACCUGAACAACCAACGACAGAGGAAUGUUUGACGUUGUCCAAAGAAUUUAUGCAAUGGAAAGGAUUUCUCCCUCACUACAAAUACAAAUGGAUGUUUUUUACACUACUUGGUCUAAAUGGACAGAAUAUAAGCCCAUAAGAUCCGACUUUAUGUGAAGUGUCACUGAAAUCGUGUCAUCUAUGUUUUAAAAAUUCCUGCUUCCUCAACUCUUUGUUCUAUUUUCAUUUGAAAACAGAGAAAACAAGAACAUUUUAAUCUAUCAAUGUAAUGUACUAUUUAUCUUUUGCUUUUUCAAUUAACGUCAUACAUCGGGAGUUCAUGCAUGACAAGUCUAUUAUAUGUACGUGGAAAGACACAAAUUUGUGUAUGCGUCUCACAAAAAUCACAAACAAUUGCGUAAGAUUUAUGUAAUAAUUGCACAUAAAUCACACAAACUGCAUGAUUCUCAACCUAACCAAAAAUGUUGAACAGCUCAAAACCGAAUUCACAUAAAGACCUGUCGGCUGAAAACGCUCGACGGACGUCUGCGCACAUCGGCGAACGCAAGAAACACGUAUGAACGACGUAGAUCACGCAUGUAUCGCGGAAGACCGACAUUUAACAAGUGGAAAAUGUGUCAAACAUUCAUAGUGGCUGAGUGACACGACCUUUACAACAGUGAAAAGCAGCUUUCAAUGAAUUUCAUUAGCCAGAAACUUUUAACCCUUGUGCUAUCUUGUUGGGUCCAGAUGACCCCACUCCCAACGUUAACGUGCCUUUGACAGCACAAGGGUUAAAGGCGAUUGGCUGCCCAGAAAUCUGGUGACAUCCUCAGGUGAUCAGAGGUUCAUCGGAGGAUUCAUUUGCCUGCUAAGGUCUUAUCCAGAGAAAAAAUGUUUUCCACGGCAUUAAAAUGACGGCAGCAAAUUUCUCCAGAGUUCUGAGCUGAGACAUCCUGUCACGGAUGACGUUUGGGCCCCAUCAGCACACGGGAUGAAACUCUUCUUCACCAUCCUCACAGC
rnacentral:lncRNA from 1 species